rnacentral:lncRNA from 1 species
AGGAGGUGGGGGAAGAAGAACAGGCUAAACUUUCCCCAGUGAGUUUACUGGAAGCUGUCUUGCCAAAAAGCUUGUGUUGACCUCCUAAUCUUCCUGAUUCUGCCUCCUUAUUGCUAUGCAUACAGGAUCUACCUGCAUGAGUGGGCCACAAAAAUAACUAUUGAACAUCCAUCUCUGGUGUGAUUUCUCAGAAGGCUGCUCUGAUGUUUCCAGGAUUUGCUUCAUCCUUUGAGUAUUGCUGAGCACACAGCACUUCCAUACCACUCUCCUAUGAUAUUUGUCUUUCCACUUAUUGUUGAACCCUUCCAGAGGAGAAAGGACUUGACCUUCAUGUAUUUAUGAUUUAUUUCUUAGUCUCAAAAACCAAUCUCACCUACAGUAAGAGUCUUUAGGGUAAAUAAAUAAAAACAGUGAAAAGCUAGCAGUGUACCAGGGUCAGAUAACCCAGUGGGAGGGCGAGAAACCUGAGUUUAAGAACCAUGGGAAGAAGCAUCAUGCAAGACAUAUGUUCUUGACGAUUUCUUUCAUAAUCUUAUUUAAAAAACAGUUUGGACACAGAAGAGGAUGCUCACAGUCAGCUAUUGGA